CCGUCCCGCGCCUACCUCCCGGCGGCUCCAGUCGCGCACGCGCGUCGGCGCCCGGGGCCCUCCGCGGCCUCUCUAGGAAACUGGGAGGCCCAACGUCUCUGCUUCUCUCCGGCUCCAAUGCGGCGGGCGGCGGGGCUUGUCCAACAUCCCUCACCUCCCUCAGUUGGACACUUCCCUUCCACGCUCGGAUGCCCAGCCGCGCCUGUUUUCUUGCAUCCUUCAUGUCGUGUCUGCGGGGCUGCCCUGAAGGCCUCUUUCCCUCCAGGGAAGAAAGGGAUCCAAAGCUAGGGGUGAAAAUAGGGCCAGCAGUAUCUAGCAGACUGGUCCUGGCCAGGAGAAGGGGUUAAGGGAGCCACUCAUUCUUCGCCUGGGUACACUUCAAAGAGGGGAACCAGAUCCUACGGGAAGCUAGGUGCCAGAACUCCUGCCUUUCCAAGACGAGCUCAUCCCCAUCAUCACCAUACCCAGGAAUACUUGUUCAUAGCCAGCUCAGAGGUGCACCAUACUUUAGCUUCCCACGGCCUUCACUCGUUUUCUCCUGUGGGUGAAUUCUAACUAGGCUCGCCUGUCACCAAAGAUGGAAACAGAGAAUAGAUCCUGAACACCAGGAAGACGGUGACGAGGUGAUAGAGAAACAGAUGGCACAUUCAAACAAGGGCCCUGAAGUGAUCCUCCUCCUGUUCACUGACACCCAUUGCCAAGAGAGAGAGAAAAAAAGAGAGAGAGAGAGAAGCAGAAGAGAGGAGAGGGUGCUGGCCUUAUUAGAGAAAGAAUGUAAGGGGAAAGAAAACAAUCAUGUUAGCUUUGAUUUCUGUAAUAAGUCUGUAUCACAGACAGGCUUAGAAAGCAAAGCUUUGGCAUUACAAGAGCCCAUGAGGGAGCAAAGCUCUCUUAUAGAAAGUCUGAGGCCAGGCACAGUGGCUCACACCUGUAAUCCCAGCAAUUUGGGAGGCCGAGGCGGGCGGAUCACGAGGUCAGGAGAUCCAGACCAUCCUGACUAACACGGUGAAACCCCGUCUCUACUAAAAAUACAAAAAAAUUAGCUGGGCGUGGUGGCGGGCGCCUGUAGUCCCAGCUACUCGGGAGGCUGAAGCAGGAGAAUGGCGUGAACCCGGGAGGCGGAGCUUGCAGUGAGCCGAGAUCACGCCACUGCACUCCAGCCUGGGCGGCAGAGCAAGACUCCGUCUACAAAAAAAAAAAAAAAGAAAAGAAAAAAAAGUCUGGAGGUGGAAGUUCCAAGACUUGAGACAACUAAUAGAAUUAGUUCAUGAUGUGUUAUCAUUCCAAUGGCACCAACAACUCACUCACCACCUGUGCCCCAGGCAAACCUGCUCCUCCUGCUUUCCUUAUUCUCUAUCUGAAGAAAGAAGUAGGAAGUGUCAGUAUGGGUACUGGAAGCCACAUCUAUCUAUACUCAUUCAUUCUUCCAUUCACAAAGAAUUUACUGAUUAUGCACUAUGUGCUAGAUACUGUUCCCGACCUGGGGUAUAUCAGUCACCAGGUGUCAAGCAACUGACACCUGUUUCCACCUCCAACAGAGAAGUCCCACUGGGUAGAGGACAGCAGAGCAUAAAAAUGAGUACCACCAAAACCAGCAGUCCUACGAUGUUAAGCCACUGCAGGGUUUGAAGGUUUGGGGGUUGUCAAGAAAGACAAGACUUACACAAGCACUGGAUGGAACAUUUUACUCACACAGAGAAGAGACAGAGUAAGAUCAGCUUCAAUAGGGAGCAUUGGUUCCCCAUGGCCAGUGGGACUUGCCCUGCAACCAGGACAGACAGAUGGUCUGCAUACACUCUUUGUGUGUUGCCUGGGAGGGACCCCAUUCCCUUCCCACUGAGAACAGAUACAGCAGUGGGGUUGGGCUGGUACCAUAUGAUGCACAUGUUUAAGCAGAACAAAGAAGUACAUGUCAAACCUGGAACAGGAAAAGAUAUUGCCAAACAGGGCAGUGAGCCCAGCACAGGGUGUGGAGGCUCUUUAUCACCAUGUAAGUAAAAGUUCCAAGCCCGAGGCACAUUCUUUGAAACUGCAAGGUUUGACAGGCUGUGCAGGACUGUCUUUCCCAGCAGUUUACCCACUGACCCUUGCUUGGCUGCUGAAAUAGCAGAUAAAGCAUACUGAAUCUAGCAGACCACCAUCCGCCCUGAAUUUGGAGGCAAAGCUGGGUCUGAUGGGGCCUGAACAACCCCUAUGGAUUAGGUUUGCUCACAGAAUCUUCCUAUCACUUUUUAAAAUUAAUAACCCUUAUUUUUAAAAUCUAUUUAUUUAUUUAUUUUGAGACCAGGUUAUGAGACUGGCUAAUUUUUGUAUUUUUGGUAGAGAUGGGGUUUCACCAUGUUGCCAAGGCUGGUCUCAAACUCCUGGGCUCAAGCAAUCCACUCUCCUCAGCCUCCACAAGUGCUGGGGUUACAGGCAUGAACAACUGCACCUGGACAACCCUGAUUUUUUAGAGCAGUUUUAGGUUCACAGCAAAAUUGAACACAAAGAACAGAGAGUUCCCAAUUCACUCUGUUUCCAUACACACAUAACCUCCCCCUAUAGACAUCCCAAACCACAGUGGUACAUUAGUUACAGCCAAAUAUGUGUGUGUGUGUGUGUGUGUGUGUGUAUAAUAAACAUAUAUAAUAUAUAAUAUAAUAUAAUAAAAUAUAUAAUAUAUAAAAUAUAAUAUAUAAUAUA
ensembl:lincRNA